rnacentral:rRNA from 1 species
GAUGAACGCUGACAGAAUGCUUAACACAUGCAAGUCGACUCGAGUCUUCGGACUUGGGUGGCGCACGGGUGAGUAACGCGUAAAGAACUUGCCUCUUAGACCGGGACAACAUCUGGAAACGGAUGCUAAUACCGGAUAUUAUGGUUUUUUCGCAUGGAGGAAUCAUGAAAGCUAGAUGCGCUAAGAGAGAGCUUUGCGUCCCAUUAGCUAGUUGGUGAGGUAACGGCCCACCAAGGCAAUGAUGGGUAGCCGGCCUGAGAGGGUGAACGGCCACAAGGGGACUGAGACACGGCCCUUACUCCUACGGGAGGCAGCAGUGGGGAAUAUUGGACAAUGGACCACAAGUCUGAUCCAGCAAUUCUGUGUGCACGAUGACGUUUUUCGGAAUGUAAAGUGCUUUCAGUCGGGAAGAAGUCAGUGGCGGUACCGACAGAAGAAGCGACGGCUAAAUACGUGCCAGCAGCCGCGGUAAUACGUAUGUCGCAAGCGUUAUCCGGAUUUAUUGGGCGUAAAGCGCGUCUAGGCGGCAAGGAAAGUCUGAUGUGAAAAUGCGGAGCUCAACUCCGUAUGGCGUUGGAAACUGCCUUACUAGAGUACUGGAGAGGUAGGCGGAACUACAAGUGUAGAGGUGAAAUUCGUAGAUAUUUGUAGGAAUGCCGAUGGGGAAGCCAGCCUACUGGACAGAUACUGACGCUAAAGCGCGAAAGCGUGGGUAGCAAACAGG